rnacentral:rRNA from 1 species
CCUACGGGAGGCAGCAGUGAGGAAUAUUGGGCAAUGGGCGCAAGCCUGACCCAGCCACGCCGCGUGAGUGAUGAAGGCCUUCGGGUUGUAAAGCUCUGUGGGGAGGGAAGAAAAACUUGGGUUCGAAUAGGGCUCGAGGUUGACGGUACCUCCUUAGCAAGCACCGGCUAACUCUGUGCCAGCAGCCGCGGUAAU